CCAAGGAGUCCAACAUGUACGCGAGUCAAGGGGUCUUGAAGAAGCCCAAUGGCGCAAUGAAAUGUGAAGGACGGUGUUUUAUACCGUCUCAGUUGCGAUCGUGUUCUUUCCAUGUGCACGCGCAGCAACGGCCCGUCCUGAUCGCUUUGUCGAUGGGGCGGAGCAGGAGCGUACAUGUUGGGACCCGAAAGAUGGUGAACUAUGCCUGGGCAAGGUGAAGCCAGGGGAAACUCUGGUGGAGGUCUGUAGCGAUUCUGACGUGCAAAUCGAUCGUCAGACCUAGGUAUAGGGGCGAAAGACUAAUCGA
rnacentral:rRNA from 1 species